UACGAAGGGUCCAAGCGUUGUUCGGAAUUACUGGGCGUAAAGCGCGCGUAGGCGGGCUUGUAAGUUGAUUGUGAAAGCCCUGGGCUCAACCUGGGAAUGGCAGUCAAAACUGCAAGUCUUGAAUGUCUGAGAGGAUGGCGGAAUUCCCGGUGUAGUAGUGAAAUACGUAGAUAUCGGGAAGAACACCUGAGGCGAAGGCGGCUAUCUGGCGGUACAUUGACGCUGAGGCGCGAAAGCGUGGGGAGCAAACAGG
rnacentral:rRNA from 1 species